rnacentral:rRNA from 1 species
CCUAUCUGGCUGAUCCUGCCAGUAGUCAUAUGCUUGUCUCAAAGAUUAAGCCAUGCAUGUCUAAGUACGAGCUGUGUUUACACGGCGAGACCGCGGACGGCUCAUUAAAUCAGUCGUGGUCCAUAUGGGCCAGGGUUCAUCCUACUUGGAUAACUGUGGUAAUUCCAGAGCUAAUACAUGCAACUUCUAUCCCGAUGUUGCGCGUGCACUCGUGUGCGUUGCGCUGACGGAUGCUUUUAUUAGACCAAACCGCCACGUGCGUUGGUUCUCAAUCUCUGAGACCUUCGUGUGGACUCGUUGAAUGGUGACUCUGGAUAACCUUUAUGACAAGCGCACGUACUCCUCGUUGGGACGGCGCUGCCACUUUCGAGUGUCUGCCUUAUCAGCUAUCAACCGUUCGUUAUGUGCGCACGAUGGCUUUGACGGGUAACGGGGAAUCAGAGUUCGGUUCCGGAGAGGCAGCCUGAGAGACGGCUACCACGUCCAAAGGACGGCAGCAGGCACGCAAAUUACCCAAUCCCAGCAUCUGGGGGAGGUAGUGACGAAAUCUAACGAUGCGGGCGCCCUUUCUGGGGCCCCGCAAUCGGAAUGGGCACUUUCUAAACAACCUGUUGAGAACCUAACUGAAGGCAAGUCUGGUUGCCAGCAGCCGCGGUAAUUCCAGCUUCAGUAGCAUCUAUUAAAGUUGCUGCGGUUAAAAGGCUCGCAGUUGAAUGUCAGUAUCGAGCGCAGGUCAGGUGGACGUUGGGACGUGAGCAAUCUAUGGCGUAUUCAUGUGUGGUUGCGGUGCGUUGUGGUGUGCCUCGUGCAUAUCCGCUUCGUUCUUGCGCUCGCGUUAGCGUCGUUCACAAGUCCCCGUCCGUAACAAGCCUCCUCGCUUGUGUACAUAACGGAUUUGGUAUACGGGGUGAUCGUGAGAGCUCUGUUGGCGGGUGUGAUUGGGGUUUCUCGGUGUGUGCGAUGCUUCGCGGUGUUGUACGCUCGAAAGCCUCUUUCUCUACUUUGUCUGACACGAGUCUCUGGCUUUCGUUAAGCUCCAUCGGAUCUAUGGUCACCCUGAGUAAAUCAGAGUGCUCAAAGCAGUCGUAGGGGCCUUGUGCCCUUUGAACAGUCUCGACGGACUGACUUGGUUUGCAUGGCAUGUCGAAAGACGACGUCUAAGUGCUGGCUCAGAGUAAAAUGCCCUUGGCUCGCAAGAGUCUCGGUGCAAGGUGGUACAAGCCAGCCUAGACGUAAUGAUUAAAAGGGACAGUCGAGGGCAUUGGUAUUGCGAGGCGAGAGGUGAAAUUCUAUGACCCCCGCAAGACCCCCUGAAGCGAAAGCGUCUGCCAAGGAUGUUUUCAUUAAUCAUGAACGAAAGUUAGAGGAUCGAAGGCGAUCAGAUACCGCCCUAGUUCUAACCCUAAACGAUGCCAACCAUCAAUCCGCGCGUAGCACCCUUUCUAACGGGCUCGGCGGGAAGCUCCUUACUCACGGGAAACCAGAGUCUCUGGGUUCCGGGGGGAGUCUGGUUGCAAAGCUGAAACUUAAAGGAAUUGACGGAAAGGCACCACCAGGCGUGGACCUGCGGCUUAAUUUGACUCAACACGGGCAAUCUCACCAGGCCAGCACUCUAGAAUGAUUGACAGAUUGAGAGCUCUUUCUCGAUUUAGUGGAUGGUGGUGCAUGGCCGUUCUUAGUUGGUGGAGUGAUCUGUCUGGUUAAUUCCGAUAACGAACGAGACUCUCCCCUGCUAACUAGUCGGUUGGAUCUUGAUUUCCCUCGCGUGCCCUCGUGGUGCGUGAGGAAUCGCUGUGAGUCGUACUCUAGGUUCACUUGGGGUACGUGUCUCUGGGAGCGUGUUCGCGUUUCUCUAUAUGUGCUCGUGUGAGAUUCUUCUCGUGCGAUGUUGCGUGUGGGGUGCGCUUGUGCGUCUUUUUGGGGACCUCCGUGCCAUGAGCCCUGGAUGUUACACUCCAAGUCCGCCGCUUAUGCUUAAAACUCUUCUUAGAGGGAUUCACGGUACUGAAGUCGUAAGAGACUGAGAGCAAUAACAGGUCUGUGAUGCCCUUAGAUGUUCUGGGCAGCACGCGCGCUACAAUGCCGGGCACAGCAGGUUCUUUUCCUACUCCGACAGGAGCGGGUAACCCUGUGAAAGCCCCUGUUUUAUACUGUUUUAUGUGUUGAGCACUUCGCGUGCUCAACGCUACUGGCGUGAUUGGGCCUGGGUCUUGCAAUUUUUUCCCACUAACGAGGAAUGCCUUGUAGCGGCGGGUCACUGAGCCCGCCGUGACUCAGUCCCUGCCCUUUGUACACACCGCCCGUCGCUACUACCGAUUGGGUGUACCAGUGAGAGCCUUGGACUGGCGUCCGUUGCCCCCUUCAUUGUGUGGGCAAGCGGGUCCGACGGAAAGAGGUCCGAACUGGUGCACUUAGAGGAAGUAAAAGUCGUAACAAGGUUUCCGUAGUGAACCUGCGGAAGGAUCAUUA